CAGUAGCCGCGGUAAAACGUAGGGUGCAAGCGUUAAUCGGAAUUACUGGGCGUAAAGCGUGCGCAGGCGGUUAUAUAAGUCAGAUGUGAAAUCCCCAAGCUUAACUUGGGACGUGCUUUUGAAACUGGGUGACUAGAGUGUGUCAGAGGGAGGUAGAAUUCCACAUGUAGAGGUGGAAUGCGUAGAGAUGUGGAGGAAUACCGAUGGCGAAGGCAGCCUCCUGGGAUAACACUGACGUUGAGGCUCGAAAGCGUGGGGAGCAAACAGGAUUAGAUACCCGCGUAGUCCCUGUCUCUUAUAC
rnacentral:rRNA from 1 species